CCUACGGGAGGCUGCAGUGAGGAAUAUUGGUCAAUGGGCGGGAGCCUGAACCAGCCAAGUCGCGUGAGGGAAGACGGUCCUAUGGAUUGUAAACCUCUUUAGGCGGGGAGCAAUGCCGGGCACGCGUGGCCGGAGGGAGGGUUCCCUCCGAAUAAGCAUCGGCUAACUCCGUGCCAGCAGCCGCGGUAAUACGGAGGAUGCGAGCGUUAUCCGGAUUUAGUGGGUUUUAAGGGUGCGUAGGCGGAUUUUUAAGUCAGCGGUAAAAUGUCCGGGCUCAACCCGGGCCUGCCGUUGAAACUGGGGAUCUUGAGUGGGCGAGAAGUAUGCGGAAUGCGUGGUGUAGCGGUGAAAUGCAUAGAUAUCACGCAGAACUCCGAUUGCGAAGGCAGCAUACCGGCGUGCGACUGACGCUGAGGCACGAAAGCGUGGGGAUCGAACAGGAUUAGAUACCCCGGUAGUC
rnacentral:rRNA from 1 species